rnacentral:miRNA from 1 species
AGAAUUUGUGGGAAUGGGCUGA